UACGGGGGGGGCAAGCGUUGUUCGGAAUUACUGGGCGUAAAGGGCUCGUAGGUGGCCAACUAAGUCAGACGUGAAAUCCCUCAGCUUAACUGGGGAACUGCGUCUGAUACUGGAUGGCUUGAGUUUGGGAGAGGGAUGCGGAAUUCCAGGUUUAGCGGUGAAAUGCGUAGAUAUCUGGAGGAACACCGGUGGCGAAGGCGGCAUCCUGGACCAACACUGACACUGAUGAGCGAAAGCCAGGGGAGCAAACGGG
rnacentral:rRNA from 1 species